UACGAAGGGGGCUAGCGUUGUUCGGAAUUACUGGGCGUAAAGCGCACGUAGGCGGAUUGUUAAGUCAGAGGUGAAAUCCCGGAGCUCAACUUCGGAACUGCCUUUGAUACUGGCAAUCUAGAGUCCGGAAGAGGUUAGUGGAAUUCCCAGUGUAGAGGUGAAAUUCGUAGAUAUUCGGAGGAACACCAGUGGCGAAGGCGGCUCACUGGUCCGGUACUGACGCUGAGGUGCGAAAGCGUGGGGAGCAAACAGG
rnacentral:rRNA from 1 species